GAUGAACGCUAGCGAUAGGCCUAACACAUGCAAGUCGAGGGGCAUCACAUGAAGUAGCAAUACGGAUGGUGGCGACCGGCGCACGGGUGAGUAACACGUAUGCAACCUGCCUUCAACAAGGGGAUAACCCGUUGAAAGACGGACUAAUACCCUAUAACACAGGGGUCCCGCAUGGGGAAUAUUUGUUAAAGGACAACCGGUUGAAGAUGGGCAUGCGUUCCAUUAGCUAGUUGGCGGGGUAACGGCUCACCAAGGCAACGAUGGAUAGGGGAACUGAGAGGUUUAUCCCCCACACUGGUACUGAGACACGGACCAGACUCCUACGGGAGGCAGCAGUGAGGAAUAUUGGUCAAUGGACGCAAGUCUGAACCAGCCACGUCGCGUGAAGGAAGACGGCCCUACGGGUUGUAAACUUCUUUUAUACGGGAAUAAAGUGCCCCACGCGUGGGGUUUUGCAUGUACCGUAUGAAUAAGGAUCGGCUAACUCCGUG
rnacentral:rRNA from 1 species